GUGCAGUUCUGAGCUGGCUGCUGUGCUGCCUCCUGGCGUCAUGGAACAGAGGGGCUGGGAGAGCUGGAAGGGGACCAUGUUUCCUCCCAAGCUUUGGCAAUACCGCACCCUAAUACUGAAGGUAUGCCAUGCCGCCCUCCAGGGAUCUUGUGGCUGGCCUCACCUCAGCCUAUGCCUAGGAUGUUCACUGGAGCCUCACUCUGUACAGCCAGCCCUCUGCCCUGGUGCCAGCACCCACACUGGGCUCCUUGGCCUCUUCUGCAUCUCCCAAG
ensembl:lncRNA